AACAGUGACAGAGUUUGAGCUCAAAUAAAUGCCGCGAGGCUUCCAGCCCUGUGCAGAAGGCAGCGGGAGAGGCUCCGGUACCGUUCUGCAGGCUCCAGAUCUGAACCAAUCAGCAGUCAUCUUCACCGUCGUGCCACGCCCCUUCAUUUGGCAACUGCUGGUUCAACGCUUUCCAUCAGUCACGUUCACCUGCAGCUACCCUCAGUCAAGUCUAACCUGGAUGCAUGAGCAAGAUAACAUUCACAUCUGCAACAUCAAGAGAGAGGGGCACAAGCAAGCCUGACAUUAAUGAUUAACUGUGCUAAAAGCCCCUGCUUUUGUAUUCCCAUGGUACCGGGGCUAUCUGCCGAUCAUGUGACCUGCACCGAGAAGAUUGGGGGAGUGAGCGCAAAAG